ensembl:ncRNA Y80E2A.2 ncRNA
AAAACUAAGACAUCUAGCUCUUUUAAUCCGUCUUCUUUUUCUUCUUGUUUUUUCUCCAUCUCCGCAUUUCUCAUGUCUGUGUUUCAUAACACGGGCGGCUCCUAGUAGAUGCAUAUGAAAUCAGAUACUUGAACAUGGGAUGUUGUUGUGUGUAAGGCAUCUAGGUCUUGUUUUAAAGUCGUAAAUCAAUUGGACACAUUUGAAGCUCAUCUGUGUUUCCGAGCAAGUGCCAUAAAGUGAUUUAUUGAUGAGA